rnacentral:tRNA from 1 species
CCCGUAGCUCAGCGGAACUGGCAGACGCACAGGACUUAAAAUCCUGCGGUGAGUGAUCACCGUACCGGUUCGAUUCCGGUCCUCGGCACCA